UACGGGGGGGGCAAGCGUUGUUCGGAAUUACUGGGCGUAAAGGGCCAGUAGGCGGCCAACUAAGUCAGACGUGAAAUCCCUCGGCUUAACUGGGGAACUGCGUCUGAUACUGGUUGGCUUGAGUGCAGGAGAGGAACGCGGAAUUCCAGGUGUAGCGGUGAAAUGCGUAGAUAUCUGGAGGAACACCGAUGGCGAAGGCAGGUCUCUGGGCAUUAACUGACGCUGAGGAGCGAAAGCAUGGGGAGCGAACAGG
rnacentral:rRNA from 1 species